AAGACGCGUGCUUCCCUGUCAACAAAUGCAGUGCGGCUCAGUUGCUAGCUAGCGGAUUUCUUCGCUAGUGCUAACUAAGUUGUUGUCGUCCUUGUAGUCAGCCAUAUCUGAGGUCUGCGAGGAGAAUCUGGAGCACAACCGGUGCUUCUUGUGGAUGCAGAAGAGGGCCGGCGCUCUCUCCAGAAUCAGGUACCUCAGCCAGUGAGGCACAGGGGGCUGCAGGUCCUGCUUGUGGACCAGACGUACGAUCAACACCGUUUCCGUCAGGCUGAUCACCAACAAGGCCAUGCAAACGACGAAAUAUACGCCUGCGGCAGAGGAGAGACCAGGUUAGCUCGGUGAAACGGACGCCGUCAAACAAAACGGGCCUUCCCCCGUAGUCACCGAUGAGUGGCGUUCCAAUGGCGGUGGCGGGCAGAGUGUCGGACACAAUGAUGAGGAAGACGGAGUAUCCCAGCAGUAAAGUGAUCUUGAAAGAAACUCUCUCGCCGCUGUCGGGUGGCAGAUAGAAGCCUACGAUGUCCAUCACCAUGAGGAAAAUGCUGGGCAGCAACAGGUUGACCGUGUAGAAAAGCGGCCGCCGACGGAUAACCACCUGUUGACAUUUUUGGAAGCUCCUCGGGACUGCGCAUCAACGUGAUGUUGAUGUCAUCAACUGCCGAUCGAACGCAAUGUCAGGAGCAGCGUGAGACCGCCAUGGCAACGACUUGCCCCUUCAGUGAGGCCUCUGCUUUCUGAGCACACAUCCCAGCAGGGGGUGGACGCAACGUGAAGCUCCGUUUCGGGAAUGCGGUGAUACCUGGGAGCUUUCAAUUUGGGUUGUUUGGCAAAUGGGAGUUUAUGGCGGGUCGCGGUGCUGUAUCGGCACACGCCCGACAUGGGGCUUUGGAAUUGCAGCUUGUUAAGAAGUUCACAACCAAGCAAGACUUUUAAUGUCAUGUUUCCUUUGACUGCCCAAAUAGUAGAAUCCACCCCCCCCCCCCCCCACCCCGCAAAAAAAAAAAUUAAAAAUGACCAAAAUGCUUCAACAAAUGACACAAUUGAAGUGAGCGGUCAUACUUGUAUGGAGCCAGCUCUGGAAGGUCAGGCUGCAUUUCUGGACAUCGAAUGGGAAAUUGUAGAUGUUGAGCGUGCAGGCGGUGACCACUUGGAUUGGUUUGUAGUUGCGCACCAGUCCGUCGUGGGUCACAUAGACGUACGGUAUGUCAGGAGACUUCCCCACGUCAACGCUUUGUUUUGACAGAAGAUCCCCCCCCCCC